rnacentral:pre_miRNA from 2 species
UUUAUACUUCCUUCGUUUAAAAUUUUUGUUUUAAAUUUAUCUAGAUAUGAAUGUAUCUAGUCAUGUUUUACUAUUUUGAUACAUUCAUUUUUAGACAAACCUAAGACAAGAAUUUUAGGAUGAAGAGAGUAUAUU